rnacentral:misc_RNA from 1 species
GAUGAAGAACGCAGCGAAAUGCGAUAAGUAAUGUGAAUUGCAGAAUUCAGUGAAUCAUCGAAUCUUUGAACGCACAUUGCGCCCUCUGGUAUUCCGGGGGGCAUGCCUGUUCGAGCGUCAUUUAAACCUUCAAGCUAAGCUUGGUGUUGGGUGACUGUCCGCCUCACGGCGGACUCGCCUCAAAAUUAUUGGCGGCCGGUACAUUGGCUUCGAGCGCAGCAGAAACGCGAACUCGGGCCCGUCGUAUUGGCUCCCAGAAGCUAUCUUCACAAUUUUGACCUCGGAUCAGGUAGGGAUACCCGCUGAACUUAAGCAUAUCAAUAAGCGGAGGA